CUUCCUGGCUUAGGAUGAACGCUGGCGGCGUGCUUAACACAUGCAAGUCGAACGGAACUACUUUGAUGAGAUUCUUCGGAAAGGAUUUGAUUUAGUUUAGUGGCGGACGGGUGAGUAACGCGUGGGUAACCUGCCUCAUACAGGGGGAUAACAGUUGGAAACGGCUGUUAAUACCGCAUAAGCGCACAGUACCGCAUGGUACAGUGUGAAAAACUCCGGUGGUAUGAGAUGGACCCGCGUCUGAUUAGCUAG
rnacentral:rRNA from 1 species